rnacentral:rRNA from 1 species
GAUGAACGCUGGCGGCGUGCCUAAUACAUGCAAGUCGAGCGAACAGAUGAGAAGCUUGCUUCUCUGAUGUUAGCGGCGGACGGGUGAGUAACACGUGGGUAACCUACCUAUAAGACUGGGAUAACUCCGGGAAACCGGGGCUAAUACCAGAUAAUACAUUGAACCGCAUGGUUCAAUGUUGAAAGACGGUUUCGGCUGUCACUUAUAGAUGGACCCGCGCCGUAUUAGCUAGUUGGUAAGGUAACGGCUUACCAAGGCAACGAUACGUAGCCGACCUGAGAGGGUGAUCGGCCACACUGGAACUGAGACACGGUCCAGACUCCUACGGGAGGCAGCAGUAGGGAAUCUUCCGCAAUGGGCGAAAGCCUGACGGAGCAACGCCGCGUGAGUGAUGAAGGUCUUAGGAUCGUAAAACUCUGUUGUUAGGGAAGAACAAAUUUGUUAGUAACUGAACAAGUCUUGACGGUACCUAACCAGAAAGCCACGGCUAACUACGUGCCAGCAGCCGCGGUAAUACGUAGGUGGCAAGCGUUAUCCGGAAUUAUUGGGCGUAAAGCGCGCGUAGGCGGUUUCUUAAGUCUGAUGUGAAAGCCCACGGCUCAACCGUGGAGGGUCAUUGGAAACUGGGGAACUUGAGUGCAGAAGAGGAGAGUGGAAUUCCAUGUGUAGCGGUGAAAUGCGCAGAGAUAUGGAGGAACACCAGUGGCGAAGGCGGCUCUCUGGUCUGUAACUGACGCUGAUGUGCGAAAGCGUGGGGAUCAAAACAGGAUUAGAUACCCUGGUAGUCCACGCCGUAAACGAUGAGUGCUAAGUGUUAGGGGGUUUCCGCCCCUUAGUGCUGCAGCUAACGCAUUAAGCACUCCGCCUGGGGAGUACGACCGCAAGGUCGAAACUCAAAGGAAUUGACGGGGACCCGCACAAGCGGUGGAGCAUGUGGUUUAAUUCGAAGCAACGCGAAGAACCUUACCAAAUCUUGACAUCCUUUGACCGCUCUAGAGAUAGAGUUUUCCCCUUCGGGGGACAAAGUGACAGGUGGUGCAUGGUUGUCGUCAGCUCGUGUCGUGAGAUGUUGGGUUAAGUCCCGCAACGAGCGCAACCCUUAAGCUUAGUUGCCAUCAUUAAGUUGGGCACUCUAGGUUGACUGCCGGUGACAAACCGGAGGAAGGUGGGGAUGACGUCAAAUCAUCAUGCCCCUUAUGAUUUGGGCUACACACGUGCUACAAUGGAUAAUACAAAGGGCAGCGAACCCGCGAGGUCAAGCAAAUCCCAUAAAAUUAUUCUCAGUUCGGAUUGUAGUCUGCAACUCGACUACAUGAAGCUGGAAUCGCUAGUAAUCGUAGAUCAGCAUGCUACGGUGAAUACGUUCCCGGGUCUUGUACACACCGCCCGUCACACCACGAGAGUUUGUAACACCCGAAGCCGGUGGAGUAACCUUUUAUUAGGAGCUAGCCGUCGAAGGUGGGACAGAUGAUUGGGGUGAAG